rnacentral:lncRNA from 1 species
GGAGUAUCGGGAGCCACCCCUUGUGACGAAGCAGAUAAAGUCGAAUAAUGACGCUAUUUGUUUCAAGAGGGACACAUGGAGAAGGAUUUAUGUGUAAAAUACAACAUUCCCCAUGUCGACCUGGAACGUUAGGGUGCACAAAAGCAGUGGAAAUGGCCAGUAACUGCUGUGAUCAUGCAGUUUCCAAAAACUACUGCAGUCUCCGCGAGGUUGCAUCGUACAGAAAUUGGACCAUAAAAAAUAUUGUACAUAAAAAUUAUACUUGUAAAUAAUAACUUAUGUAAAAAAAAUACCUAUGAUUAACGAAUUUAAAAAUAAUUUCAUAUUUGUAUUAUUAAAUCACACAAUAUAAAUAAUAAACCUAAUUUUUUUGAUUCCUAU